rnacentral:rRNA from 1 species
UACGGAAGGGGGCUAGCGUUGUUCGGAAUUACUGGGCGUAAAGCGCACGUAGGCGGACUACUAAGUCAGGGGUGAAAUCCCGGGGCUCAACCCCGGAACUGGCCUUUGAUACUGGUAGUCUCGGAGUCCGGAAGAGGUGAGUGGAAUUCCGAGUGUAGAGGUGAAAUUCGUAGAUAUUCGGAGGAACACCAGUGGCGAAGGCGGCUCACUGGUCCGGUGCUGACGCUGAGGUGCGAAAGCGUGGGGAGCAAACAGG